rnacentral:lncRNA from 1 species
GUCAUGUACAUUGGGAGGAAAAUCAUGACGAUGCUGUACAGCGCGGCACAUAGUACGCGGAAAAACGGAUACCUCGGAUGUGUUGUUUAGUUUUUACUCAUGCUCUUUAGACUUACGGGUGCAGUUACGUCCUGCUGUCCCUUUAUCAGCUGUCACCAUACUGAUGUGCUAUAUUUCAUUUUCGUUGAAAGGUGCUGAAUGUGUGUACAACUCUUCCAGCCUUCUUU